UACAGAGGUCCCGAGCGUUGUUCGGAUUCACUGGGCGUAAAGGGUGCGUAGGUGGUGAGGUAGGUCGGAUGUGAAAUCUCCAAGCUCAACUUGGAAAUGGCAUUGGAAACUACCUUGCUGGAGGUUUGGAGGGGGGACUGGAAUUCGUCGGUGUAGCAGUGAAAUGCGUAGAUAUCGAGAGGAACACCAGUGGCGAAGGCGAGUCCCUGGACAAAACCUGACACUGAGGCACGAAAGCUAGGGGAGCAAACAGG
rnacentral:rRNA from 1 species